AACGUAGGAGACAAACGUUAUCCGGAGUUACUGGGCGUAAAGGGCGUGCAGGUGGUCUGUUAAGUCUGGCGUGAAAGCUCCUGGCUAAACCGGGAGGGGUCGUUGGAUACUGGCGGACUAGAGGACGGUAGAGGCGUGUGGAAUUCCGGGUGUAGUGGUGAAAUGCGUAGAGAUGUGGAGGAACACCGAUGGCGAAGGCAGCCCCCUGGGUUAACACUGACGCUCAGGCACGAAAGCGUGGGGAGCAAACAGG
rnacentral:rRNA from 1 species